rnacentral:rRNA from 1 species
CCUUGCGAUCAUACUAGUGUCAAUGCACUGGAUCCCAUCAGAACUCCGCAGUUAAGCGUGCUUGGGCUAGAGUAGUACUGGUAUGGGUGACCUCCCGGGAAGUACUAGUGUUGCACCUU